rnacentral:tRNA from 1 species
GCCCCUGUGGUGAAAUUGGUAGACACAAGGGACUUAAAAUCCCUCGGCGCAAGCUGUACCGGUUCGAUUCCGGUCUCGGGCACCA